rnacentral:rRNA from 1 species
GACGAACGCUGGCGGCGUGCCUAAUACAUGCAAGUCGAACGCAGUGGGGACGGGUGAGUCACACGUGGGUAACCUCCCAUCAGAGGGGAUAACACUUGGAAACAGGUGCUAAACCGAUACUGAUGUAUGGCCCCGCGGUGCAUUAGCUAGUUGGUGAGGUAACGGCUCACCACGGCCACGAUGCAUAGCCGAGCUGAGAGGUGGAUCGGCCACACUGGGACUGAGACACGGCCCAGACUCAGACGGGGGGCAGCAGUAGGGAAUCUUCGGCAAUGGACGAAAGUCUGACCGAGCAACGCCGCGUGAGUGAAGAAGGUUUUCGGAUCGUAAAACUCUGUGGUUAGAGAAGCGGUAUAGAAACAGAAAGCCACGGCUAACUACGUGCCAGCAGCCGCGGUAAGAC